rnacentral:rRNA from 1 species
UGGGGGAUAUUGCACAAUGGGCGAAAGCCUGAUGCAGCGACGCCGCGUGGGGGAUGAAGGCUUUCGGGUUGUAAACCUCUUUCGCGAUCGAACAAGGCCCGCUUAGGGUGGGUUGAGGGUAGGUGGAGAAGAAGCGCCGGCUAACUACGUGCCAGCAGCCGCGGUAGUACGUAGGGCGCGAGCGUUGUCCGGAAUUAUUGGGCGUGAAGGGCUUGUAGGCGGCUUGUUGCGCCUGCUGUGAAAACGCGGGGCUUAACUUCGCGCGUGCAGUGGGUACGGGCAGGCUUGAGUGUGGUAGGGGUGACUGGAAUUCCAGGUGUAGCGGUGGAAUACGCAGAUAUCUGGAGGAACACCGAUGGCGAAGGCAGGUCACUGGGCCAUUACUGACGCUGAGGAGCGAAAGCAUGGGUAGCGAACAGG